UACAUGUGGGGCAAGCGUUGUUCGGAACUACUGGGCAUAAAGGGUGCGUAGGCGGCCUGAUAAGUCAGUGGUGAAAUCCGGUGGCCCAACCAUCGAACUGCCAUUGAUACUGCUGGGCUUGAGUGCGUGAGGGGUAACCGGAACGAGUGGUGUAGCGGUGAAAUGCGUAGAUAUCACUCGGAAGGCCAACGGCGAAGGCAGGUUACUGGCACGCAACUGACGCUGAGGCACGAAAGCGUGGGGAGCAAACAGG
rnacentral:rRNA from 1 species